rnacentral:lncRNA from 10 species
AUUUGAGUAGAUACAUUAAAAAAUUUAAGAUGUAAAGUAUGCUUAAGCUUAAACUAAACUUACAUGCUGAAGAGGAUCUGUACUCCCUUGUGUCACUUUGCCUCAAAACCACAGUCUGAAGAGCUUUUCUUAUGCCCAAAUGUACAGAGUGAGCUUCAGGCAAAUAUUUAACUAGUGUCUUCACCCAAAAUUGUGGUCAAGGUAAUGUAGGUGUAUUCAUUUUCUAUUGCUGUUGUAAUGAAUCAUCACAAUCCUUGUGGCUUUAACAACAAAUUCAUUCUCUUACCAGCUCUGGAGAUAAGAAGGCCAAAAUGAGUCCUAUGGAGUAUUUGCACAGCCAGUUUCUUCUGGAAGCUUCAAGAGAGAGUCUGUUCCUUGCCUUUUCCAGCUUCUAGAGGCAGCCGACACUCCUUGGCUCAUGGCCACAUAACUCUGACCUGUGUCUAUUGUCACAUCACUGACUCUUCUGACCUCCUACCAGGACCCUUGUGAUUACAUUGGGCCUGCUUGGAUAACCCAGGAUAGCUUCUCCAUCUUAAGGUUGUUAAUCACAUCUGCAGAAUGCCUGUUGCCAUAUAAGUUAACAUAUUCACAGGUUCUAGGAAGAAGGACAUGGACAUCUUCCAGGAAGCAUUAUUCUGUCUACCACAGCAGUUCUUUCAACUGUAUGUUUCCCAGACCAUUCAUCCUUCCCUGCACAAAGUCAAGUUCAUCAACGUUCUUACUGAAAUGUGAUGUUGUUUAUCACGAAUAUAUAUAAAGCAAAGACUCUCUAAUCCUGUACUUUGCAUCUGGCAUUUCAAAAUGAAGUCUAAAAGUGUACAAUUUCUACUCCUAUGCAAGUUUCCUCUUCUUAGAUUUGACCUCCUAUUCUGGACUAUGAAGGUAUGUAAAAGUCUCUUUUUUUGUGAUCCAACCUAUUAUUUAGCUGAAUGGACUAUUAAGAGCACUGUGCUAGUGUGAGAAAUGCUUCUGGUCUUUACUUUUACCAUUCAUUAGCUCCUGUACAAGAGGAGAUGUAUAAUAUUGUUCAAUCACUGGAAAUCUAUUAGGAUUAUGGAAUUAAAGUCUUUAGCAAACUUAAGUAUCAUGCUAAUUUUAGUUUAUGCAUACCAAAUGUUAGCAACUAUCAACAAUGCACUUCAGUUUUAUUGAGUGACCUCCAAUGAUACAAGAACAUAGAAGUGGUCCAAGAACAUUCAGACCACCCACAUGUAGGAAUGAAGGAAAGGACUUGCAUGUUAAGAUCCAUUUUGAGCCUCCACGGAUGAGCCUCACAACUCACUGGUCAGCCUUGAAGUAUGUUUUGGGAGAUGUCACUUAGCAUCUACUUCAAUCUAUUCAUUUGCAUGUUUUGAAUCUGCUUGACUUGUCAUGGAGUCCACGUUUUUUAUUUCAUUCAAAAUGGUAUCAUAAGACUCUCCUUGCUUCCUUCCACUUCUCUAAGUGGAAAGGGUUGUUCUUAGUUCGUGUAUGUAUCUGAAAGGCAACUGGAAUUGUUGAAGAGAAAGAGAAGACCUAACCUGGGCACCCUAGGAACCUACUGACAUCUAUAACACCACUGUGUGCUCCCUGCCUGUCCGUCUUAGUAGAUCCGAUGAAUGCCCUAAAUUCUGAAUAUUUACUAUCUCAACCACUAUCUCUAAAAAAUUAUGGUAAUGACUUACACAAUAGACAUUAUUCCAUAAAUGUUCUAAUGAUGCCAAGUAUCUGAACAGAUUGUACAACAGCAGAUUUCUGCUGCAGUCAAUCAACUUACCUAUCUGUCUACAUGUAUCUAUGCCACCAUUUCUCCAUAAAUCACAGUCUAGUCCAUGUUACUUCCUAAAUGAGCAUUGCCUCAACAUAAGCCUUGGUUAGAAUGCUUUUCAUUGUUGGUCUUGGAGGUAUAUAGGUGAACCACUUAUCCUGAGCCUACAGAUUCAUUUAAUGACAUUCGCUCGUUGUAUAGAUUUAAAUAGGCUUGGAAAUCUCAGGAAAAUUAGCAGCCUCUAUAAGCUAAGGUGGAUUUUACUGUCCAGAGAACACAUCUAAAUAUGGCAAGGGCUAGACUAUGUGUGUGUGUGUGUGUGUAUGUGUGUGUGUGUAUGUUUUGCACAUGUGUGUACAGAAAAAGAUAUACAUAAAAUAUUUCAUACAUAUAUAAAAUAUUUCAAAGUCCAGACUAUUUUGUUUAGACUUCCUUAUUUCAGAAGAGGAAAUUGAUACAAAGGAAAGCAAAGAAGACAGAUUUUUCUUGGCCCCUUCACCGCUGAUGAUAAAAUUCCAUAAGGAAGGAGGGUGUCAAGGGUUCCCACUGCCCUCUUUUGCUUCCUUGCUCUUCCCUUGAAAUAAAUCUCAACAUACCACCGUGAUCUUUGCAAUUAAAUUACUUUACCCAAAGCAGAUGUUCGCUAGGAGCAUUUUCCUUCUGCAGCAUGGAGAGUCAUAGUUUCUCUGCUCAUUUGUCUUGUUAACUCAUAUCUGAGAGAACACAUGGAAGUGGCAUGGUCAGAAAGAAAUUGGAUACACAGAGAGAAAGUUUAAUUUUUGCUUGUAAUACUAUGCUAAAUUAUUAAACUGAAAGUCAUAUAAAAUAGCUAAAAGACUAAAAAAGACAUAAAUCAGCCACCACCUAUGUAUUUUAUUUCAUUACUUUUUUUUGUUCUAGUAUUUUUCCCAGUUUGAAUAUUGAAACAAAAUUAAUUGGUUUCACUUUUAAAGCAAUGUUAUUAUAGACAUGUAUUUAACAUUCUGAAAAAAUAUUUUAUAUAUCAAAAUAUGUAUUUUUAAGGCAGCUCUUAAUUUAAUCCAGGCAGCGAAAUCUACUUUCCUGUACAGCUUAAUGGUUUUAGUCCAUUUUAACUUUCAUUAAAAUUCUCAGAAAUCUUUCUAUUAGGUUUUAAAAAUGUUUUUCUUUUUAGAUUUUAAGGAGCCAAAUUGUGACCUAAAAUAUAAUAAUAUUUUAAAUUAAA